UGUGGAUUCGUGAUUACUCAAAUGGAUCUGCCUCCAGAGAUCAGUGUUUUUAUUCUGUCUCUGACAGCACCUUUUAUUCUCUACACAAUCAACCAUGUGUCCUUCUUACAAGAUCCACAGGUUAUACUGGCAAUAGGCAUCAUGGUUCUUUACAACGAUAUUUCUUCUGGCAAACCUCAGUGUCAAGAGUAAACAAUCUACUGACCCUCUCUUCUAUGUGUUUGCUGUGUUUUCCUUCACCUCUGUUGUCAGCAUCACCAAUGCACUGCAGCACACCGGACUGAUCAAGGGCUUUAUGGACUUUUAUAUAAGCAAGGUUAGAUCUCUUUCUCUCUCUCUCACACACACACACACACACACACACACACACACAAACAAACACUGAAGUGAAUAUCUGUUACUGUCUCUCUCAAUUCAAUUCAAUAUGUGCUUUAUUGGCAUGACAAUUGUUACAAUGUAUUGCCAAAGCAUAGUGUUUACAUUAAUUCUAGAACAGAUAUAGGGUAUAUGCAAUAAAACAUGCAUGUAUCUCUCUCUCUCUCUCUCUCUCUCUCUCUCUCUACACACACACACACACACACACACACACACACACUGUUAAUUAUUUACACAUCAUGCAAACAUUUUAUAUCUAAAUAUUAAAUAUAUUAUAUGUAUUAAAUAUAUUUAUAUUUACUAUGUUAAAUAUUUUGUACUUUUAAUUUAUGCUUAU
rnacentral:lncRNA from 1 species